rnacentral:rRNA from 1 species
UACGUAGGGUGCAAGCGUUGUCCGGAAUUAUUGGGCGUAAAGGGCUCGUAGGCGGUCCAUCGCGUCGGGAGUGGAAAGCUGGGGCUUAACCCCAGUCCUGCUUCCGAUACGGGUGGACUAGAGGUAGGUAGGGGAGAUCGGAAUUCCUGGUGUAGCGGUGAAAUGCGCAGAUAUCAGGAGGAACACCGGUGGCGAAGGCGGAUCUCUGGGCCUUACCUGACGCUGAGGAGCGAAAGCAUGGGGAGCAAACAGG